CCUACGGGCGGCAGCAGUGGGGAAUAUUGCACAAUGGGGGAAACCCUGAUGCAGCAACGCCGCGUGAGUGAUGAAGGCUUUCGGGUUGUAAAGCUCUGUCAUCAGGGAAGAUAAUGACGGUACCUUAGGAGUAAGCCUCGGCUAACUACGUGCCAGCAGCCGCGGUAAUACGUAGGUGGCGAGCGUUGUCCGGAUUGACUGGGCGUAAAGGGAGCGUAGGCGGACUGUUAAGUGAGAAGUGAAAUACUAAGGCUCAACUUGGGAACUGCAUUUAAAACUGGUGGUCUUGAGUGCAGGAGAGGAAAAUGGAAUUCCUAGUGUAGCGGUGGAAUGCGUAGAGAUUAGGAAGAACACCAGUGGCGAAGGCGAUUCGCUGGACUGUAACUGACGCUGAGGCUCGAAAGCGUGGGGAGCAAACAGGAUUAGAUACCCUAGUAGUC
rnacentral:rRNA from 1 species